GACGAACGCUGGCGGCGUGCCUAAUACAUGCAAGUAGAACGCUGAAGAGAGGAGCUUGCUCUUCUUGGAUGAGUUGCGAACGGGUGAGUAACGCGUAGGUAACCUGCCUUGUAGCGGGGGAUAACUAUUGGAAACGAUAGCUAAUACCGCAUAACAAUGGAUGACACAUGUCAUUUAUUUGAAAGGGGCAAUUGCUCCACUACAAGAUGGACCUGCGUUGUAUUAGCUAGUAGGUGAGGUAAUGGCUCACCUAGGCGACGAUACAUAGCCGACCUGAGAGGGUGAUCGGCCACACUGGGACUGAGACACGGCCCAGACUCCUACGGGAGGCAGCAGUAGGGAAUCUUCGGCAAUGGGGGCAACCCUGACCGAGCAACGCCGCGUGAGUGAAGAAGGUUUUCGGAUCGUAAAGCUCUGUUGUAAGUCAAGAACGGGUGUGAGAGUGGAAAGUUCACACUGUGACGGUAGCUUACCAGAAAGGGACGGCUAACUACGUGCCAGCAGCCGCGGUAAUACGUAGGUCCCGAGCGUUGUCCGGAUUUAUUGGGCGUAAAGCGAGCGCAGGCGGUUUGAUAAGUCUGAAGUUAAAGGCUGUGGCUCAACCAUAGUUCGCUUUGGAAACUGUCAAACUUGAGUGCAGAAGGGGAGAGUGGAAUUCCAUGUGUAGCGGUGAAAUGCGUAGAUAUAUGGAGGAACACCGGUGGCGAAAGCUGCUCUCUGGUCUGUAACUGACGCUGAGGCUCGAAAGCGUGGGGAGCGAACAGGAUUAGAUACCCUGGUAGUCCACGCCGUAAACGAUGAGUGCUAGGUGUUGGAUCCUUUCCGGGAUUCAGUGCCGCAGCUAACGCAUUAAGCACUCCGCCUGGGGAGUACGACCGCAAGGUUGAAACUCAAAGGAAUUGACGGGGGCCCGCACAAGCGGUGGAGCAUGUGGUUUAAUUCGAAGCAACGCGAAGAACCUUACCAGGUCUUGACAUCCCGAUGCUAUUUCUAGAGAUAGAAAGUUACUUCGGUACAUCGGUGACAGGUGGUGCAUGGUUGUCGUCAGCUCGUGUCGUGAGAUGUUGGGUUAAGUCCCGCAACGAGCGCAACCCCUAUUGUUAGUUGCCAUCAUUCAGUUGGGCACUCUAGCGAGACUGCCGGUAAUAAACCGGAGGAAGGUGGGGAUGACGUCAAAUCAUCAUGCCCCUUAUGACCUGGGCUACACACGUGCUACAAUGGUUGGUACAACGAGUUGCGAGUCGGUGACGGCGAGCUAAUCUCUUAAAGCCAAUCUCAGUUCGGAUUGUAGGCUGCAACUCGCCUACAUGAAGUCGGAAUCGCUAGUAAUCGCGGAUCAGCACGCCGCGGUGAAUACGUUCCCGGGCCU
rnacentral:rRNA from 1 species